GAAGAAGAAGCACUGCGGAUGGGCGGAGUCUGCCCACCCUGACGCAAUCACUAAUAGUGGCUACAUAACAAACACUGACACUUCCCUUUUUCAGCGGCUGCUAAACAACAACACCGACAAGAAUGGGACGAGCCGUCGUCAUUGUUUGUCGUACGGCAAGCCCCAGGGUCGCCGCCGAACGGUUGCUUCGAAGCGUUGUAUCACGGGACUAGCCGACGAAGGCGGCUAACGGGCUUGCUAGCGCGGGGCUGGGCUAAGUUGCCUCUUCGGUCGCGGCGACCCCACUCAGCUCCACCACGACCGCGCUCACUCGCAGGGAAAAUGGUGUACCUGCUAAAUCCUCUGGAGAACCUGAGAAGCUACAUCACCAACCGUCCGCCGCUGGUCAUUUUCAUGAUCACCGUCAGCGCUUUGGCCAUCGCCUUCCUCACUGUCGGCUACUUCUUCAAGAUCAAGGAGAUCAAGUCGCCAGGGUUGACGGAGGACUGGAACACGUUCUUGCUGCGCUUUAACGAACUGGACUUGUGUGUGUCGGAGAACGAGACCAUUAAGCACGGCCUCAACGAGUCCACCACGCCCGAGAGCCUGGUGCUGACCAGCGGGCAGGCGCGCUCCAGCACGCAGGUGCCGCUGAUCUCCGAGGACCCGGGCUCCGUCAACAUCUCGGUGCCCAUCACACUUACGCUGGAUCCCCAGCGUCCGUUCGGGGGCUACUCGCGCAACAUCACCCACCUAUACGCCGCCGUGCUCGGGCAGCAGGUCGGCCUGUCUGGCCGUGAAGCCCACGAAGAGAUCAACAUCACUUUCACGCUGCCCGUUUCCUGGAACGCGGACGACUGCAUCCUGCACGGCCACUGCGAGCAGGUGGUGUUCAGCACGUGCAUGACCAUCUCUGCCGCCAGCAAUAUCUUCCCAGUCACAGUUCAGCCACCACACUGCAUGCCAGAGACGUACACCAACGCCACCUCCUGGUAUAAGGUCUUCACCACGGUGCGGGACUCGGACACCAAGUACAGCCAGGACUACAACCCCUUCUGGUGCUACAAAGGCGCCAUCGGCAAGGUGUACCACGCACUCAACCCCAAACUCACCGUCAUCGUGCCCGAUGAUGACCGCUCCCUCAUCAACCUCCACCUGAUGCACACAAGCUACUUCCUGUUCGUCAUGGUCAUCACUAUGUUCUGCUAUGCGGUCAUCAAGGGCAGGCCCGGCAAAGUGCGGCAAAGCAGCCCCGACUUCUUCCCCGAAAAGCAGGUUUCGGGGAGAAAAUUGUGGUAAAAAGUCUCUUCUUACCGGAGAUCAGCUGAGCUUGCGCCGUCCAUAAAGCUGUCGUCAACUUCGCUGAGACACUGUGCGUCAAGACACCCGUGGACAUACCCCUCCGACGAUCAGGUGGCUCUGUCUGAAGGUUAAUUGGACGGUACCAGAAGAUCAGCUGUAAGACCAGUUCAAAACAAGGACCCAGGGACAAGCACUCGGUUGCCUGUUGGUCUCUGCGGACUUUAAAGACUAAUAAGAAGAAAGACAAAAGCGCUCGGCGAAUGAUUGAACUCUUCCUCGCAAUGUUGGGAUUAUCCAACCAAAGAUACAAGUGCCUGCAUCCGUGGUGUAAAUAUGAUGUAGGAACCUUUUUUGUGUUGUUAUUGUUGCUAAUAAUUGAUUUGCCAUAUCACAACAUGCAGUACCACACAGGUGCCCACCUUAAAGACGAUUGACACAUUCAUCCAUACAAUCCGGCUCGCUUGCUAACCUCCAUCUGUUCACCAAGGCCCGCCUAGACGGGGUGCAGGAGCAGGACCGAAAACAGAGAAGACCGAUAAUGUACUUUUUCUUUAUAUUAAAGGAGUCCAAGCAGUGCUGAGCGGCUAACAAUUGCAACAAUGCGAGUUCAGGCUCAACUGGUAGUGUUCAUUUGUUUUUAAUUUAAUCAGCAAGCUACUUCCUGGGUGCUUCAGACCGACGUACAAAUAGUAAUAACUUAACAUUGUGCUUCAUUCAACAAAAUAAUGGGGUCUUCCUUAGCCCUGAAGUGCUAGCCAAAUGUUUUUUUUGUUUUUUUUAACGUAAAUCUUGCUCAUCCGUUUCUGUUUUUCUUUUAGCAUUAACACGUCCGUUUUCUUAAUGGCGACAAUGAGCCAGAGAUGUUUAGUUUUUUUCGUCCAUAGACUUUGGAGAAACCUUACUUAUCGUCAGAUGGCACCACUCAAAUAAUAGUCACUGCAAAUAAUUCCACCUGUGCAUCGUCACCAAACCCAACGAUGUGAGAAUUCAUCAUCAACAUUGACUGAUUUCACUUCUUGAAUUGAAAAGCGGCAUUGAGAUGCCCUGAAGUUGUUUUUUUUCCUGACCUUUUUUUUUUAAUUAGUAACUACCGGGCUACUUGUUGAUGGAGGCAGAAUAGAACAGCACUCUGCUCUAUUAUGUUUUUAAGGUUUGUUUGUUUUUAAAGCGAAAAUCGUGAAUUGAUCCGCUGGUGUUUACUAAAGUGCACCACUUCAGUAACGUGUUAUCAGAAUAGGACAAAGUUGAUGUCUAAAUUACACACUUGUCUCGUUUUGUUGGGCCGGAAACUUGCCUUACCUGUUGUGGACUUGCUUUCUCGCUCGCCUUCAUCAUGUCAUUUUCUUCCACUCACUAGAAAACUCUGAAAACAUCGAUCCGCUUUUGAAUUAUUCCUUUUUUUUGGGGGGCGGGGUUUAAAUUUUGUACGCCACGCAAACACUGUUUAAGCACUUUUUAUGUUUUAUUUUGUGUGCACAUUUUGAUGUGAUUUUUGCAUUUUUGUUGUAAUUUUGAGUUAUUGCAUAUUCUCUCACCCAAAAAAUGUCUGAUUAUAUUUAUGGUUAAAACGUGCGUAUAGUAUAACAAAAUGUGCAAAAAAAGACAAAAAAUUAAGAGUGUUUGGUGUUUUUUUUCUCUCUUAAUGAACAUUUACAGUUUGAUUUUAUUUUGUGCAACUUUGACAAUCAAGAUGUUUACUUUAUCUGUAUUUUUUUUUUUGUCGAGAAGCGCCUGAGUCUACAUUUUUCUUUGCCUCCUAAUUUAAUUCCAUUCAAAAUAAAAAUGUUGAAUGUACUUUUUUCACAAUCUUGUAAAAUUCCAUGUUAUCCGUUCAAAAACUUGAAUAAUGUUUUUGUUGAUAUUAUAGGAAUAUUGUAUCGAACGCGUAUCAAUGAAAAUAAAUGUUCUUUUUGUUUUAAUUUCAAAGUCUUCCAAGAAAUGUAUCAUAUUCAAGCAUGCAUCUGUCACGACUAAAGUGUGUCAUCUGUGUGCAGCUCCGCAAAUGGCCUUAAAAUUGUUUGUGUGUAUCGCUGUGUCAACGAAAUGGCUUUAUCGACAAUAACGGCCAUUCCUUUCUACUCACUGGGCGUUUUCUUGAGUUGUCUGCAGAGCUUUCAGGCUAAGAGUAGGAAGCCAAGCGUGUGCCUUCCUCACUUAUCAAGCUGCAUCCCUGUAGAUAAGACACGUAGCAUAGGGAAGGGAAGGAGAUGGUUUUGUGGAUAUGACUGUAGAUGAAUACAAAGUGAAUUAAAGUCUCUUUUAAGUUAA